UAAGUUGAAGUCCGCUGGAGUUGGACGUUUGGUUGUUAACUAAAAUUUUGCGGGAUAGAGGCCCGUCAGCUUAGUU
rnacentral:tRNA from 1 species